CCUUGUUGAAAUUUCAUGUUGACUUGGGGGGCUGCACGUUGGUCAAAUUUAGCAAAAUUUCUCCCACUCGUGCGGGUUCGUAUUGACAGCGGAUAUCUUACAGAAAGUGGCCAGUUCUUUGAAAAAUGCAAAAGUUUCAAUUUUACACCGCAAGUCCACUGACAAUAUGAGCCUGCGAUCCUGGGAGAAAAUUUGCUGAAUGUGACCAGCGUGCUGAGCCCCCCUAUAUUUUGGCACGUUGCAUAAUUGAUAAUCUUAACAACGUGCGAAAACACACACAAAAAAUACCAGUAAACGAGAAUGUUCUUUAGAAUUGCAUCUCAUUUUCACUCAUCAUUUAACACAAUGAUUUUUGUAAUCUUUAUAUCGCCAUUUUUGUAAUCUUUAUAUCAUUUAGUACCACUAAAUUGUAAAUUUCGACAUACUAAAACGCUGUUUUCUGACCAUCAGAAUUCUGUCAAAUCUUCCCCAAAGUCCAGGAAAUGGCAUUUCGGA